AGCUCCCCCCGGCCUAUUUAGCAGCCGGCAGGCAGUCGGUGCAGACCCAGUUCUUCUUUGCGGCUUUGGGACGCGAGUGGUAACCGCGCCGACAGGCUGAGCAGAAGCACAACCUUCUUGGACUGCCAGUGUCGUCUGCGAAACGUCGUCCACUGCGCGUCGUCUGCUCUCGUUCGCCGCUCGCCUUGAGUGUAGCCGACGCUAAUAGUUCGUUUGUGUGAUCCGAGGAAGAAAAAAAGAACAGACGCGUGCGGCAUAAGAAAACAUGGGCGUCACAGUCGAUCCGGCAUUUCAAGGAGUCGGGAUGCAGCCCGGCCUGACAAUUUGGAGGAUCGAGAAGCUGGAAGUGAAGCCUGUCGACCCCAAGCUGUACGGGAGUUUCUACUCGGGAGACUCGUACAUUGUCCUCCACACGAAGCAAGCCAAGAGCGGCCGACUCGAGUGGAACAUCCACUUCUGGCUGGGACGAGACACAUCGCAGGACGAAUACACGGUCGCCGCCAUCAAGAGCGUGGAGCUGGACGACUCGCUGGGCGGCGCUCCCGUGCAGCAUCGUGAAGUGCAGGAGCACGAGUCCGACCUCUUCCUGUCGUACUUCAAGAACGGCAUCAGGUACCUGGAAGGCGGCAUUGAGUCCGGCCUGCAGAGCGUGGACAAGACGGUGCAGAAGCGGCUCUUCCAGGUCAAAGGGCGCCGCAACAUCCGCGUGAGUCAGGUGCCUCUGGAGGCCAGCUCGCUGAACCACGGUGACUGCUUCGUGCUCGACUGCCGCGACAACGUGUACGUCUUCGUGGGUCACCGAAGCGGCGGUCAUGAGCGGGUCAAGGCCAUACAGGUGGCCACGGGAAUACGCGACGAUGUCCACGGCGGCCGAAGCAAGAUCGGCAUACUCGACGAGCACAGCUGCGAGGCCGAGGUGAAUAAAUUCUUCGAGGAACUCGGCUCCGGCUCGCCCGCGGACGUCAAGGAUGCCGCCGAGGGGGGCGACGACGUCGAACACGAACGCUCCAGCGACACCGAGGUCUCGCUCCACAGGAUUUCGGACGCCGAUGGUGAACUCAAAGUGGAAAAGGUCGGUGACAAACCGCUGGCUCAUACGCUCCUGGACCCCAACGACUGCUUCCUUCUGGACGGCGGCAGGUCCGGCGUCUUUGUCUGGGUCGGCAAAGGGGCGAGCACCAAGGAGCGCAAGGAGUCCAUGCUCCUGGCUCAGAAAUAUCUCAAAUACCGGGGCUACCCGGAAUGGUGCCAGGUGACGCGCGUCAUCUGUGGCGCCGAGCCGCCCAUCUUCAAGCAGUACUUCGCCUCCUGGAAGCAAGAGCAGAGCGCCAUCUUCGGCAGGAAGGGCGCGCUCAAUCGCAUCGCCGAGAUGGACAAGACAUUCAACGUGAGUGAAUUGCACCGCGAGAAACGGCGCCUCUUGACCAAGAACCUGGGCAACGCAUGCAGUUUCAUGCCUGACGACGGCUCCGGGUCAAUGGAGAUCUUCCGCGUGGAGAACUUCGAGCUGGCACCCGUAGACCCGGCAAUCUACGGUUUCUUUUUCGGCGGGGAUAGCUACGUCAUCAAGUACACCUACAAAAAGGGCUACAACGAGCGCUACGUCAUCUACUUCUGGCAGGGAAACGAGAGCAGCCAAGACGAAAAGGCUGCCUCGGCGAUCUGGGCCGUGAAGAUGGACAACGACCUCUGCGGAAAGGCCAUUCAGGUGCGCGUGGUUCAGGGCCACGAGCCGGAGCACUUCCUGCGCAUGUUCAAGGGGCGCAUGAUCAUCUUCAGCGGAGGACACGCCAGCGGGUUCCGCAACCUCAGGGACCACGACACCUACGACGUCGACGGGACGCGCAUGUUCCACGUCAAGGGAACCUCGGACGUCGACGUCCGAGCAGUGCAGGCAAAUGAAGUGGCGGCGUCAUUGAAUUCCGAGGACGUCUUCGUGCUAGAGACACCGAAGACAACAUUCUUAUGGCUGGGAGAGUUCGCCGACCCGUCGGAGAUUGCCAUGGGCCACAAUGUGGCGAAGCUGGUUUCGCCAGAUAGGCAAGCGGUGGAGCUGAAAGAAGGAUCGGAGCCGGAAGAGUUCUGGAAGUCGAUCGGCGGCAAGGGCGAGUACAAGAAGGGACACCAGGAGGUGCACAACCCGCUGCUCGAACCCCGGCUGUUCAAGUGCUCCACGGCCACCGGAAGGCUGCGCGUCAUCGAGAUCUGCAACUUCACCCAGGAGGAUCUGGACGUGAACGACGUCAUGAUGUUGGACAGCGGCGAGGAGAUCUACGUCUGGAUCGGCAAAGGCUCCACUGAGGAGGAGAGGACCAAGUCGCUCGAGGUGGCCAUGGAGUACGUGAAGACGGACCCAACAGAGCGAGAUUUGAACAGCACUGCCAUCAUCACCGUAAACCAGGCGCAAGAGCCAGAUGCAUUCACGGCACUCUUCGACCACUGGGACGCCAACCUGUGGGAGAGCCGAUAAAAAAAACGGCCUCCGGUCGCUGCGCCAAUACCAAAAAUCAUUGUUGGCAUGGCCCAACAUUCCCACGUACGAGGAGCUUAAGCGCCAAGUGACCCGACUCUGAGCCUCGGGUGCCGACGGAAGCCGCCGCCCGGAGCUUCUCCCAAGCGACGCCUUUCGCUGCACCUGUUGGGCAGCGAGAGAAAAGGCUGUCCGUGCCCGCUCGGUGCCGAACGGUCCGCGACGCUCACUCCUCCCUGCACUCCGCACUUUUCCUUCUUCUUUGUUUUUUUUCUUUUUCUUUUUUUUUACAGAGUCGCAUCCGACAGGCGACUUUUGCCGUCCAAGAAGGCCGUUGCGCUUCUCACCGAGUCAGUGUUAUCGAGAAUGAGUACGUCCGCAGAUCCCUACAACCGCGUCAGAAAUCCCGUCCGCUAACUUCUCGAAGUACUUGAAUCGUGAUCGCAUGUAAAAGGGGACCGUAGGAUUCGUAAGUGAGCAUAAAUUAGCUAGCUUGGCCAGUUGGUGUGCCUUGCCUGACAAACCCGGCGCCAAGUAAAGGCGACAACGUCUCCUAAAUACAUUCUAAUAAUAAAAAAAGACAAAUAAGAGCGUGCGGAGUGAGAGUUGCAGGUAGACACAGCUAAACAGAAAUGAUGGCUUUCGUGUGGAAUUACCAGGCGUUUUCGAGGUGUAUAGUGCAGGGCUCGCUCAGGCGUGGCCUCUGUGAUCGCCUGCACGCGGUAUCUUGGAGGCCAUUACUGAGGGUAAGAAAUUGGGCGCAAUUUCACAUGCAGCGCUGAUAUCGUCGCUGAUUCUUAUACCGGCAGUGCAAAACAACGUUUCCUCACAGUUCAAAUCGAAUCACGGCAGUUUUCGACCUCGCGCCUACUUGAUAAACCACGGCUUCGAUUUUGAGUGCAGUUUUGUACUGAGCAUUGAAAAGCUUUUGUUUCGAGCAAAUUUUUAGUGUAAAGUAUAUUGCGUCCUUAACGCAUCCUGAGGGAAUGAACAGCGUGAGGUCUGUUUUUUUUUUUUUUUUUGUCCUGCGAAUCGAAGCGGGGCUGCGGACGUGUAGCGUACUUACGAGACCAUAUCUUUCUCUGCGCAAUGUGAUUGCCAGUCAAAUGCAACAGCCUUUAAUAUGUUAGGUUUCCGAACAAAACAAAUCACACCGCCUUUGCAAGCUCUGCCGCCGUCUUUCGCGUGCGCUAGUAUUUACCUUUGCGCUGUGUGUAUGAUGAAGAGCACUUUGAAUGAGCCGCGGCGUUCUGUGUGGCAUUCUGCAAGAUACAUAAACUCUUUUGAUGCACUUGUGUAUUAUUCAGAGUGCCGACGUAAAUUAUGUGACAAGUGCAAAUGUGUUAUUUUAGUAUGCUUUGUACUUUUUUCAAUUUUUAUUAAGAAAUAAAGCAUUGAAUGUUA